UAUUAGGGCUAAAGGAAAAUAGUUCGCAUACACGACAGAGUUUGUCAUUUGAUAGUAUAAAAAGCUAUUUCAAUCCCUUUUUCUGAUUUCAGAUUUUGGUUAUAGCGAGUAACACUAACAAUGACCGAUACUGAAGACGCCACACGACGCCGUAACGCGGUUACGGAGUACCGAAAGAAACUUCUUCAACACAAGGAAUUGGAAUCCAGAGUGCGAUCGGUGAGAGAGAAUUUGCGAGCUUCAAGAAAGGAGUUCAACAAAACAGAAGAUGAUUUGAAGUCUCUUCAAAGCGUUGGACAGAUCAUUGGCGAGGUUCUCAGGCCUCUCGACAAUGAGCGCCUGAUUGUUAAGGCAAGCAGUGGACCUAGGUAUGUAGUUGGUUGCCGCAGUAAAGUAGAUAAGGAAAAACUGACUGCUGGUACCAGAGUGGUUCUUGAUAUGACAACACUAACCAUAAUGAGGGCUCUUCCACGUGAGGUUGAUCCGGUAGUUUACAAUAUGCUGCAUGAGGAUCCCGGUAAUAUCAGUUAUUCCGCAGUUGGUGGUUUAUCUGAUCAGAUAAGAGAAUUGAGGGAAUCAAUUGAACUACCUCUGAUGAACCCUGAGCUCUUCCUUAGAGUCGGAAUAAAACCUCCUAAGGGUGUUCUCCUUUACGGUCCUCCUGGUACUGGUAAAACAUUGUUAGCUAGGGCAAUUGCUAGUAAUAUAGAUGCUAACUUCUUGAAGGUUGUUUCAAGUGCAAUAAUUGAUAAGUACAUUGGAGAAAGUGCCAGGUUAAUUAGAGAGAUGUUUGGUUAUGCACGAGAUCAUCAGCCUUGCAUCAUUUUUAUGGAUGAGAUCGAUGCCAUUGGUGGCCGUCGUUUCAGUGAGGGAACAAGUGCUGAUCGUGAGAUUCAGAGAACACUAAUGGAGUUGCUUAAUCAACUCGAUGGGUUUGAUCAACUUGGGAAGGUUAAAAUGAUAAUGGCAACAAACCGUCCCGACGUACUGGAUCCUGCUCUUCUGCGUCCUGGAAGAUUGGAUAGAAAAAUAGAGAUUCCAUUGCCAAAUGAACAAUCUAGGAUGGAAAUUCUGAAGAUUCAUGCUGCUGGGAUAGCUAAGCAUGGUGAAAUAGAUUAUGAAGCCGUUGUGAAGCUUGCUGAGGGCUUCAAUGGAGCUGAUCUUCGAAAUGUGUGCACGGAAGCUGGAAUGGCAGCAAUUCGUGCAGAACGUGAUUAUGUGAUCCAUGAAGAUUUUAUGAAGGCUGUUAGAAAACUGAAUGAUGCAAAGAAACUUGAAUCCAGUGCUCCCUACAGUGCUGAUUUUGGCAAAGACUAGACUAUUAUGAAAUUCUUAUUCAUGAAUAUCUAGGCAGUACAUCUUGAGUCACAUUCUUCGUGCAAUUAGGUUAUGUACUACUAAUUACGGCCGGCAACAAUCUAAUAUUGAGUUGGAAUUUAGUUUCUCUUCAAUCCAGCUAGCUAAGCUCUUUUUUAUAGUUAUUAUACUAAUUUGAGGCCUUGGUGAUCUGAGUGUUGCGUUGUGAACUCUACCUUCCGUGUAAACACUAGUGGAAAAAAAAUUAUUUUCCAUCUUUUCUUUAUAUUAUGGUGACAUUUUUAUAUAUAUGAAUAUUUUUUUGCACCUUA